GAAGAUUUGAUUAAGCUAUUCCCCAUUUUUAAUAAUGGAGGUACUUGGUCAGAAAUGUAUUGAGAACUUUAAAAUUACUCUGCCCUGCUCAGACAGUGAAUUAGGGGAAGAUAAAGUUGCAAUAUACUAAAUGAACAAUGAAAAGUCCCCAACUCAUACUUAUAAGGAAGCAAAACCCUAAGCUAGGAUGUCUAUUUUUAGAUCUAAUACAAAAGGGUGCUAAGUAUCUAUAAAGGUUAAAUUAAUCACUAAAAGUUCAAGCAACUUACAAAAGCCAAGCUUAGCAAAAGAGAUAUGAAAUACUCAGAAGAUAUAAUAUACCCAGAGAAGGUGAGAACUAAAGAGUGAUGAGAACUAAUAAUGGGCAGUCCUGGGAAAAGGCAUCUAAUAUGAUUGGUAGAUGUGAAAAUAUAGGGGAGGUGACAUAAGAGAAAAUUCUCUUUAAAAGGACUUCUCUGAACUCAGUUCAGGAGUUCAGGAGUUCAGAGGAGGCUCUCUGAACUCAGUUCAGGAGUUGAGGAUUUCAGUGAAGGACUGGAGCUUGCUUGGGAGGAUCUUGUGUUCUUGGGGGCAGAGCCAAGAUCAUGAAGUAGAAGCAGAGAAGUCCAAAACCACCAUGAGAAUUGUCUCUAAUCAAUCUUAAAAUAAUGGCACAAUAUGAAUAUAAGAGUGAAAGAACCAACAAGGAAACAGAAUGAAACAGCUUUAAGAAGAGAAAAACCUAAAUGGUGGUUUGUAAUGAUCAUUUGGAACAAGAUUCAGAAGGCUCCUGCUACUAUGCUGCCAUCUUGGAUUCAUCUUCAAGAAUCUCAUUUUGAAAUUGGCAAUUUAAGGAGUUAUUUUGCUUCCCCAACUUGCUAUUUCUUGGAACAUAAAAAAUAUGAUUUCUAUAAAGGA